AUUGAACGCUGGCGGCAUGCCUUACACAUGCAAGUCGAACGGCAGCGGGGGAGAAGCUUGCUUUUCCUGCCGGCGAGUGGCGAACGGGUGAGUAAUACAUCGGAACGUGCCCUGUAGUGGGGGAUAACUAGUCGAAAGAUUAGCUAAUACCGCAUACGACCUGAGGGUGAAAGUGGGGGACCGCAAGGCCUCAUGCUAUAGGAGCGGCCGAUGUCUGAUUAGCUAGUUGGUGGGGUAAAGGCCUACCAAGGCGACGAUCAGUAGCUGGUCUGAGAGGACGAUCAGCCACACUGGGACUGAGACACGGCCCAGACUCCUACGGGAGGCAGCAGUGGGGAAUUUUGGACAAUGGGCGAAAGCCUGAUCCAGCAAUGCCGCGUGUGUGAAGAAGGCCUUCGGGUUGUAAAGCACUUUUGUCCGGAAAGAAAUGGCUCUGGUUAAUACCUGGGGUCGAUGACGGUACCGGAAGAAUAAGGACCGGCUAACUACGUGCCAGCAGCCGCCGCGGUAA
rnacentral:rRNA from 1 species